UCUGAUCGGAUUAUCUGAAUUCACUAGUUGAGUGUCAAUCACAGAAAAAAACAACAUUGAUGAAAAUACAUUUUGAGAAUAUGUGAAUCCCUCGUCCGAUUCCUUGACCCCUGGCAAAGACAUAGAAUGUGUAUAGGGCAAAGAUUUCGCCUGUUCCACUGAUAUGGAUUCAGCUAACAAAUAUGGAAACUCCAAUGUUCACACCAGUCUCAUACUUUUAAAUCCAUGACGGGAAGAGUGAACUUGCACACUUGGUAAAGGGUUGGGAAUCGGGACCUCAGUCUCAGGCACCUUAUUACCAGUUUGAUAUUUUGUUAUUGAUCCAAGUGGAUGAGGACAUGAUUGGGACAUACUGUAUGAAGAGAGACUGGAGGCUGCAGUAAUGUUGAGAUGCCAGUAGGGGGAGCUCUAGUCUAGAACACUGGAACCUUCAGGAGCACUUUGAUGGAGAUGAUGAGGAGUGAUGGGUCACAUCUUGUGAGGAAACACAUUAAGAAACCAUAUAGAACAGUCAACACUUUGUCGUGGAUCUGUAUUUAAAGAAAAUACUAUGUUGAAAAUGGGUUGCAUUUUGCCCCAUUAAAAAAUGUAGGCCCACUCCUCAAAUGAAGAAAUGUAAAUAGCUGUGCAGUCUUUAUCAGUACAUCCAGUACAUCCCUUUCUGACGUGCUGUUGAUGCAUGUGAUUGUCUUAAAUGCCUGACCAGGCUACUUUCACAAUGUGUCAGUCACUAAAAUCACACUUCUUGUUUCUCUGCACAGCUACGACGGUAAAUUGACUCACUGUACAAGACCUCCCCCCUUCACUCUCCUGCAGGGUGGGAGAUGCAACAAUGUCCUUGAGAACAGCAGGAAGUGUGUUGGGGGUCUUUCUCUGGUCUGUAGCAGAGUGUCCAUCCUGACCCUAACUGUGACACACACACCACUGAAAAUGAGGACCAGACACUCUGGCAGUAGUGUGAAAAUCCCCCACAGUGACACGUUCACAUCUCUUCAGAGAGACGCUCAGCACUCCGUAUAUCAGACCAUCCAGGGGAGAGAACCACCACAGAACCUGGACUGAUAGAACCACCACAGAACCUGGAGGGAAGAGAACCACCACUGAACCUGGAGGGAAGAGAACCACCACAGAACCUGGAGAGAAGGAGAACUACCACAGAACCUGGAGAGAAGAGAACCACCACAGAACCUGGAGAGAAGAGAACCACCACAGAACCUGGACUAAAGAGAACCACCACAGAACCUGCACUGAAGAGAACCACCACAGAACCUGGACUAAAGAGAACCACCACAGAACCUGCACUGAAGAGAACCACCACAGAACCUGGACUAAAGAGAACCACCACAGAACCUGCACUGAAGAGAACCACCACAGAACCUGGACUAAAGAGAACCACCACAGAACCUGGACAAAAGAGCUAUGGCCCCAAACCAAAGCUAGUCCUUACACUCUAUUCUCUUGCUAAUAUAUUGUUAUAAUAUAAUGAAGGUUCACCCAAGUUACAAAAUGACACAUUGGUUUCCCUUUUAGCAGUCUAUGAACAUGGUGACAUCAGUCCCUGCUUUGGUUUAGUUUCCCCUGACACUGUUUCCACCUGCUAACGUUUUAGCAUUCGUGGCACAAAUCCCAUUCGUCAUGUGACUGAUAAGAGGCAUUUCUCGCACAUCAUUUCAAAAUCAAUCAAAAGUUUUAAAAAAUGCGUUGUGAAGGUCAACAAAGUCACUUCUAGAUGAUUUGAACAUGAUGAGAGAAAUCUUAAUAUCAGUCCCGUGACUUGAAUGGGAUUUUUGUAAAUGUGGGAGUGUUCGACAUAGCAGCUGACUUUAUAGGCAAGUCAAGAUCUACAAAUCACCUUGCAUGAUGAAUAACUACUCAAUAUUAUUUAUAGAUCAUUCAGUCAGUCACAAUUUACCCAUGAUACAUCAGUUUUGAUGUUCUCGAACACUGCCUGUGUGACUGCUGAAGGAAGCCUUCUCUGCAUAAGCUUCUUGGUCCCUGACAUAGAGUUGGAUAGAAGGUACAUCUUGACAUCUUUGUCAUGAUGUCUUCUGUGACAGAAUGAGCAGCACCAUUGAGGGCUAUUUCCAUAUUAAAGUAGUUAAUAUCUUCAACUUCCAUAAGUUUAAUAACAGUCGGUAUACCAACUGAAAUGGUGUAUUCAAUGGCUUUAGUCAUGCUAAAAUGGGCUUUGAAGCAAGUACGCCCUCUAUUCAACUCUAUUGUCCCUGACUGCUUCAAUGUUGUGUCAACCAGACUUCAAACCUCACACUCAGUGUCUAUUUAUAUAUACUUCCAGUAAGUUAACUUGCAACACAUCUCCCCUUCACUCUGUAAGUAUGCUUGACGAUAUCUUAAAAUAUGUUUAUUUUAUAAUUUGUUUGUGUCCAUGAACUUCUGUAUCCUGUUGUGCGCAUGGCGAUGCUAUUGUAAUGUAUGUUUUGUUUUUCUGUUAUUUACAGUAUACUCUGUAGAUGUAUUUCUGCGUAGUAAUCUGAUACAGUAUUGUACAUGUGGUUACGCAUAUAAUACUUUAGCAUGGUAUUUUAAGGACUCUGAAAGCAAUAGAUUGUUGUGGAGACUUGUUUGAAAAUGACCUAAAGUAAGACUGAAAGUAACAGUGAUUAGGUGGAUGCUUCGUAAGAGCUUUAGGAGUAGUAUUAACAUGAGACACAGUGAUGGUGGGUUGUGUUUAGGAGUAGUAUUAACAUGAGACACAGUGAUGGUGGGUUGUGUUUAGGAGUAGUAUUAACAUGAGACACAGUGAUGGUGGGUUGUGUUUAGGAGUAGUAUUAACAAGAGACACAGUGAUGGUGGGUUGUGGUUUUGUUGGUUUAAAUGCACACACUCAGUAUCACUUCCCUGUUCUCCUUUCCUGUCUGUCCUCUGACAGACCUCCCGAGUCAUAUCAGAAAUCUGUAUAUACACAUUAGACUUUACAGAACAUGUUCCUCUGUAGCUCAGUUGGUAGAACAUGGCACUUGCAACGUUAUGGGUUUGGUUCCCAGGACCACCCAUUGGUGCUCUAGUCUAGAUCACUGAACCUUCAGUACCACUUUGAUGCAGCUGAUGAGGAGUGAUGGUCAUGGGUGUUUAAAUGGAAUGGGUUCUAAUUGAAUAACAUCAUGGAACUUUGACCUGUAUAUACAGAACUCAGAAGGGCAGGGUUUUCACUCACUACCAGACAGUUGACUGACUGUACAAGACCUCUCCUCUUCACUUCACUCUCCUGCAGGGUGGGAGAUGCAACAAUGGCCUUGAGAACAGCAGGAAGUGUGUUGGUGGUCUUUCUCUGGUCUGUGGCAGUGGUACUGAGUCAGAAUGGCUGGAGUGUUACAUACACCACUCAGAGUAUCUGUACCUUGAAGGGGUCAUCAGUGGAGAUGUCCUGCUCUUACACAUAUCCCAGAGGUUAUAUCAUCACAACAACCUUCUGGUUCAUAACAAAUAAUGCUGAGGGGAAGCCUGUGAGUCUGAGUGGUGACCCAGACUACAAAGGACGUGUGACGUACCGUAGUGAUAAGAUGAAUGGACACACCCUGACAAUCACAGACCUGAGAGAGAGUGACUCAGCUACGUACAUGUUCAGCUUUAUAACAGAUCAGACCAGAGGGAGAUAUCCUGUUAGUCCUGGAGUCACUCUGUCUGUUACAGACCUGCAGGUGAAGGUGACUCCUACAUGGCGGGCAACGUCGACGACACUGACCUGUAGCACCACCAGCUGUCCUCUGACUGGUAACCCCACCUACAUCUGGUACAAGAAUGGACAGGUUGUAACUGAGAACACUUUACACUACUCAGUCUACCCUGAAGCUGUGGACAGCUACUUCUGUGCUGUAAAAGACCACGAGGAUCUUCACUCUCCGGCAGUGUGUGUUCAGGGUCAGAGAUGCAGCAGAGUGAAUUACACCAAUAGGAGUAUCUGUGCCCUGAAGGGGUCAACAGUUGACAUAUCCUGUACUUAUGUUGGUUAUUAUUACACCAAAUCAUCAUUCUGGUUUAGAAGUGAUAAGUUGACCCCUGAAAACCUAACCAGAGACCCAGGGUAUGCAGGUCGUGUGGAGUACACUGGAACAAACAGAGGUCCCUUCACCCUGAGAAUCUCAGAUCUGAGAGAGGAGGACACAGCUGAGUAUCGCUUCACUUUUAAAACAUACAGCGUUGAAUGGGGUCAUAGUUUCCCUGGAACCAGUCUGACUGUGACAGACCUGCAGGUGAAGGUGACUCCUGGCACAGUGACAGAAGGAUCAUGGGUUACACUGACAUGUAUCACCACCUGUACUCUGAUUGACAUCCCCAACCCCACCUACAUCUGGUACAAGAAUGGAGAAUAUCUAUUUUCUGACUCCUCUCCCCAGUAUCAAUACUCAGUCAGUAGAGGAGGUUCUGACAGCUACUCCUGUGCCUUAAGAGGCCAUGACAAACUCAGCUCUCCUGGAGUCACAGUGGAUACUUCUUCUCUGAGCUGCUUAAGGGUGACCUACACCAGUAGAAGCAUCUGUUCCUUGAUACCAUCCGUGGACCUGCCUUGCACUACCAUAUAUCCCACAGACCUGCAGGUGAAGGUGACUCCUGGCACAGAGGCAUGGAAGAGAACACUGACCUGUAGCACCACUAGCUGUACUCUGACUGACAACCCCACCUACAUCUGGUACAUGAACGGACAGUCUCUUGAUUGGCUCACUUCCCAACAACACUCUGUCUGGAGUUCUGAAACAGAGAGUUACUCCUGUGCUGUUAAAGGCCAUGAGGAUCUCCGCUCUCCUGCAGUGUGUGUUCAGGGUCACAACUGCUGGAGGGUGACUUACACCAAGAGGAGAAUCUGUGUCUUGAAGGGCUCCACAGUGGACAUAUCCUGCUCUUACACUCAUCCCACUAGUUACAUAGAACAAGGUUCAUUCUGGUUUACACAGAAACACCCUGUAGAUCUCAGGUCAUAUCCAGAGUCUGCAGGUCGUGUGGAGUACAAUAGGAACACAGAGAACCACCACACCAUGACAAUAACACACCUGACAGAGAAGGACUCGGCUGAAUACAAAUUCAGAUUAAUAACAACAAAGGAGGGGAGAUUUUCUGGUCUUCCUGGUGUGAUGUUGACUGUCACAGAUAUCCUGUUGGAGAUGGAUCCUACAUCUGUGUCAGAGGGGGGGUGGGUCACACUGAGAUGUAGAACCCAAUGUACAGUCGGUCUCAACCCCACCUACAUCUGGUACAAGAACGGACAAAGUCUGACCAACCCAAUCACCAGUUAUAACAGCCUUAUCCUAGACCCAGUCAGCAGUGAGGAUGCAGGAAACUACUCCUGUGCUGUAGAAGGCUUAGAGAGAAUCCUCUCUCCAGAAGAGACUCUCACUGUCAGAUAUGGCCCAAAGAACACCUCAGUGUCAGUCAGUCCCUCUGGUGAACUAGUGGAGGGCAGUUCAGUGACUCUGACCUGCAGCAGUGAUGCCAACCCACCUGUGGACAAAUACACCUGGUACAAGAAGAACGUAACCUCACCAAAAGCAUCAGGACAGAGUUACAACAUCACUAACAUCAUCUCUGAGGACAGAGGAGAAUAUUACUGUGAGGCUGAGAAUAUAAUAGCAUCUAAUAACUCUACAGCUCUGAUGAUCAUUGUAGCAGGGAAACAAACCUCAGUUGUGACUGCAGCUGUAGGAAUCAUAGUGGUUGUUCUGGUUCUCAUCCUCUGUCUCUCUGGACUCAUGUGGUUCAGGAAGAAGGCCUCCAAACCCACCAACACAAGAGACACAUCAGAUGAUGGACAGGGAGACUCUAGUCCAGUGUAUGACAACAUCUCAAACAUGGCCAUGACCUCUACUGCAGCACAGACAGCUGACACAGACAACCAGGAUGAUGUUCACUACGCCAGCGUCCACUUCUCUGGCUCCAAAAACCAGGAAGUGCCUCUGUACUCCACCGUCCAGCUGCAUCAACCACAGAAACAGGACCAAGAUGUCCAAUACGCUGCUGUGAAAUUCAACCUCCCCAGUUCUGCCACCCACCUGCCUCAGCCUCUCCACUGACCCCCACAUCACUGUCUGUCUCAGUAGCCUGUUCUCUGUAAAGGACUUAGUAGUGGAUGGUUUGCUCCUGCUGAGGUUGGCUCCAUUAACGUAAGCUUCUUACUUCAUCCUUCUAGCUGGCUAACAUGCUGACCAGACCGGAAACGUCGUGUGUGCGAGCAUCGCAAAAUCAAUGUAGAAAUCAAUGUUAUAAAAUUAUAGCACCCACACUGAACCUGCACGCCAAGGAGCGUCUCCUCAUUGGUUUAUAGAAUCAGGUACCCACGUGCCAUCUCCUCAUUGGUUAUACCCACGUGGGUGAUUGAAAGACUAACUUUUUUGUCGGUCUUCGUGGUAUACUAUGAAAGUUUAGAUGCGAUCACCAUAUAAGUUCAAAGCUGAAAAGGCCUGGAAGGAGGAGAGAUGACUAGAAAUGAUUCAGUUGGCCGUUUAUGUGUGGAUUAAUUGUCGGAGUAGAGGACAUUGUGCAUUUCAGACCAGCAGCAGCACAAGCAGCUGAGGUGGAUGCCUCUGAGAUCUACAGUACAGUCAACAAACCCAGAACCAAGAAGACUUGAACAU